rnacentral:rRNA from 1 species
CCUGACUGCUAUCGGAUUGAUACUAAGCCAUGCGAGUCAUUGUAGCAAUACAAGGCAGACGGCUCAGUAACGCGUAGUCAAUCUACCCUAUGGACGGGAAUAACCUCGGGAAACUGAGAAUAAUGCCCGAUAGAACAUUAUGCCUGGAAUGGUUUAUGUUUCAAAUGAUUUAUCGCCAUAGGAUGGGACUGCGGCCUAUCAGUUUGUUGGUGAGGUAAUGGCCCACCAAGACUAUUACAGGUACGGGCUCUGAGAGGAGUAGCCCGGAGAUGGGUACUGAGACACGGACCCAGGCCCUAUGGGGCGCAGCAGGCGAGAAAACUUUGCAAUGUGCGAAAGCACGACAAGGUUAAUCCGAGUGGUUUCUGCUAAAGAAACCUUUUGUCAGUCCUAGAAACACUAACGAAUAAGGGGUGGGCAAGUUCUGGUGUCAGCCGCCGCGGUAAAACCAGCACCUCAAGUGGUCAGGAUGAUUAUUGGGCCUAAAGCAUCCGUAGCUCGUUUUGUAAGUUUUCGGUUAAAUCCAUGCGCUUAACGUAUGGGCUGCCGGGAAUACUGCAUAACUAGGAAGUGGGAGAGGUAGACGGUACUCGGGAGGAAGGGGUAAAAUCCUUUGAUCUCUUGAUGACCACCUGUGGCGAAGGCGGUCUACCAGAACACGUUCGACGGUGAGGGAUGAAAGCUGGGGGAGCAAACCGGAUUAGAUACCCGGGUAGUCCCAGCUGUAAACUAUGCAAACUCAGUGAUGCAUUGGCUUAUGGCCAAUGCAGUGCUGCAGGGAAGCCGUUAAGUUUGCCGCCUGGGAAGUACGUACGCAAGUAUGAAACUUAAAGGAAUUGGCGGGGGAGCACCACAAGGGGUGAA